rnacentral:lncRNA from 1 species
AGCCACCCCACCUGGCCAACAGUAACUCUUUUAAAAAGAUACAAAUGCCUGAAAGGAGACAGAAGAGAAGACACAGACACAGAGAAAGCCAUGGCCAUGUGAGGAUGGAUACCAAGAUUGGAGUUAUGCAGCUACAAGCCAAGGAACUCCUGGAGUCACCAAAAGCUGGAAGAAGCAAGAAAAAUUCUCCUCUAGGGCCCUUGGAGGGAGGGUAGCCCUGCAGACAUCUUGAGUUCAGCCUUUUUUCUCCAUAAAUGGCAGAGAAUAAAUCUGUGUUGUCACCCAGUUUGUGGUAAUUUGUCCCAGCAUCCCUAGAAAACAUGUAUAUAUAUAUACACACACACAUGCACACAAAUAAACAGCAGCCUUUCUACGUGUUAUACAGGAUGUGUUUUCCCCAAUUUUCC